rnacentral:rRNA from 1 species
UACGUAGGGCGCAAGCGUUGUCCGGAAUCAUUGGGCGUAAAGAGCGCGCAGGCGGCUUGGCAAGUCGGGUGUGAAAUCCCGGGGCUCAACCCCGUGACUGCAUUCGAUACUGUCAGGCUAGAGGUAGGUAGGGGAGAUCGGAAUUCCUGGUGUAGCGGUGAAAUGCGCAGAUAUCAGGAGGAACACCGGUGGCGAAGGCGGAUCUCUGGGCCUUACCUGACGCUCAGGCGCGAAAGCUAGGGGAGCGAACAGG